rnacentral:ncRNA from 1 species
CCUGCGGGACGACCCGUAAGAUGCCAACUCUCCCGGGGACGACCCCG